AUUCCAGCUCCAAUAGCGUAUAUUAAAGUUGUUGCAGUUAAAAAGCUCGUAGUUGGAUUUCUGUCUCUUUUGGGAUGCGGUCCGCCCUUCAUGGGUGAGCACUGUUAUCCUGGGGACAUCCUCUCAAAGGCGUUAUGGUGCACUUAGUUGUGUGCUUAAUGAAUUUGGGAUCUUUACUUUGAAAAAAUUAGAGUGUUCAAAGCAGGCUUAUUGCUUGAAUAUAUUAGCAUGGAAUAAUGGAAUAGGACUUUGGUUCUAUUUUGUUGGUUUCUAGGACUGAAGUAAUGAUUAAUAGGGACAGUUGGGGGCAUUAGUAUUUAAUUGUCAGAGGUGAAAUUCUUGGAUUUAUGAAAGACUAACUACUGCGAAAGCAUUUGCCAAGGAUGUUUUCAUCG
rnacentral:rRNA from 1 species